ensembl:lncRNA
GAACAGUGUUGUGCUCGCACAUCGUCGGAGGAACGCUCUGAACAGCGACGUGUGUGUAUAUCGAGCUGGAGAGCAUGCUAGCUGAUGGCUAACACUGAAAUAGCGCCCUUGGAACGGCAGAAUGAGGGGCAGCAUCUUAUCACCAACCUAGAGGAAGCGAUCCACUGGCUGGAGAAACAUGGCCUCAUCAGGAGCUGUUAACCUUAUGUGAGGAACAUUUUUUCAUAAAGGAUGAAAGAAAUGGAAUCCACAGAGAAAGAGAAGCAAACGCACAGACAUGAAGGAAAUCUCUUGUGCUCGCUGUGUGCAGCACAGAGGCAGGCAGUGAUACCAUCAUGCUUACAGGGUUCACAUUUACACCUCUCUCGCCUUUUGACUGCUACAUUCCUGACCAUCCACAAUGAUUUUCCUCAGUAUCUCAGAGGGAAUAUACUUUACACUUAAUCUGUCAACACCACGCUAUUCACUGCAGGUUUUAUUACAGGGAUGAGGAGCAGGUUGGGUAGGUGUUUCCUCUGUGGUGACAUUUUCUCUGAGGACAACAGCGGCCGCAUUGUGCCGACAGCCUGACUUGUAUCCUUGUUGGGAGAUUCCUCAGCAUUCCUGAAAGCACCGUCGCUGUGACUGGGAGCUCUGUUUUCGGCACCCCUGAAGCCUCGACAAGCUCUAUAAGAGCGUCGGUGCACAGCUUCCAAAAUUCCACAGGUUGACAGAUCUGAAAGACCUCUUGGGAAUCAAGGUCAAAAGAUGAGGUGAACGCUGCAGCCAACAUGCCCCAACAGUCUUCUGCCUGCCAGCUACGAUCUCUGAACGUACUAGAGUUGGUCUUCACUUUCAGUUAUUAUAGCUCUUGGCAUGAAUCAUAACUGCAGUGCCAGUAACAAGAUUUUUCUUGCUUGGCUAUAGCUGUAGGCCACUAAAGGGAAUGCCAAAUAGCCAUUAUGAUAGGGAAAGAAACACUUAUAAUCUGUUGAUGAGUCAGUAAAGCAGGAAGAAUCAUCAGUCCUGGUGAUUCACUGCAUUCAAUGUUGAAU